rnacentral:lncRNA from 12 species
CUCUGAGCCACCUGAGGACCUUCCAGGUCCUGUCCGGGCUGUUCGUGGCCAUCGUGGCCGUGGCCAUCGUGGCCCUGCUGGCCAUGAAGGUGUGGCCCAGGGUCAGGAAAUCCCAGAGCUGGUCCCGUGCCGAGGACACCCUGGAGCUGAGGAGCAAACCGGACCUGUCACAGGUGGGGACAUCGGGGGGUCGCCACAGCCGUGGCUGUCACUGUCACAGGGACGGGAGCCUGGUGGGGACCCAAAAUCCCCGUCCCAGCCUCAUCCCAGAGGGGCUCCAUGGGUGCCAGCCCCUCCAGGGCUGCUGGGGAUCAUCCUCUGUCCCCGUGGAAUGUCGCCAGCCGAGGACGAGGUGUCCCCAACCUUUUCCAGAUGGAUGGAGCAUCUUGACCUGGUGGCUCUCGGAUCCCGUUCCAGCUGUGGCCGCUGGAAUUUCCCGGUCCUGGCUGGAUCCAGGGACUCCUCUGGGGAUCCCCCCGCUCCUUCCCGAUGGGUUCUUGUCACCUCCUCUUGUCACCGGUGACAGCUCCGGGCUGGGAAAAUCCCGGAAAAAUAAUAAAAUGAAACCUGGGGACAUCCUGUUUGUCACCACCGUGCUCCUGUCCCUUUUUCCCUGCCGUCCAUCCUGGUGUCCCCUUGGAGAGGGGGACACAUGUGUCCCCAAGCCACCCGUGUCCCCUGGGUGCCUGGGAUGAGGGGAGCUGGGGUUGGGGGCUCUGCUUGCUGGUGGCAGCUGCGCCGUGUCCCCUCUGGCCGUGUCCCCUCUGGCCGUGUCCCUGCUGCCAUUAGAGGUCACUCUGCAGCCACUCGGCCACCAGACACGGCCUCGGGGAUGGGAUCGUGGG